rnacentral:lncRNA from 1 species
UUUUUUUUUUUUUUUUUUUUGGUUUUUCGAGACAGGGUUUCUCUGUGUAGUCCUGGCUGUCCUGGAACUCACUCUGUAGACCAGGCUGGCCUCGAACUCAGAAGAACUCAGAAAUCCGCCUGCCUCUGCCUCCCAAGUGCUGGGAUUAAAGGCAUGUGCCACUACUGCCCAGCCACUUUGGAAUUCUUAAUAUUCUUAAUAUUCUCAACAAUUAGAGAGAAGUUGAUAUUUCUCAAUUUUCAAGAGAGGAAAAUAAAACAACAAAACUUAGAAGAGUAAUGUCCUUGCCUCACAGUGCAGAUGCCCAGGACCCAUAGACGUUGGCAGUAGAGGAGACUGGAUGACCUCUAGAGUAUACAGAGCCUGAGGAUGACAUUAGGAAGAGAGAGUCCUGGAAGAAUUGGACCUGUGCAUGGGAGAAUGUGUCCUGUGAAGAGUAUGUCCCCUCCUCCAUCCACGCUCUGGACAGCCAUUUUCCCCUAAUUUAACUGUUUGGAAAGACACUUUUUGAACCUAUUGCUUCUUUUUGAGCCCAGAGGCUCUCUGUCUCCUGUGGUUACUCCAUCCUGCUUCUGUUUCCUGCCUACCCCUUGAUAAGUUAGAGAAGGCAGUGGUGCUCCAUGCCAGUUGGUUCCUCUGGCUUUUUCUUUCAUUUCUCCAUGUAAAGGCCACAGGUCUGUAGACUUGGUUGUUCUAACAUAGUCUUCCAAGCAGUUUUUAUGCUUACCUGUCUCUGUCUGAAUAUAUGAGAAACCCAUGUUGAAAUUAGGGAAUCUGAUGGCAUAAUUUGUAUGUGGGGAGGGAGAGGGAAGUAGGGAGGGAGAGGGAGAGAGAGAGAGAGAGAUAUGCAUGUAUAUGUGGUAUAUGUACUCAUCUGUGCAUGCAUUUGUGGAAGCCAGAUGUCAACAUUGAAUGUCUUCCUUUAUUUUUUUUCUCCAGCAUACUUUUUGAAAUAGGAUCUUUCACUGAAAUGGAACUCAUUGUUUUGGCUAGAUUAGCUGGACAGUGAGCCCACAGGAUCCCUGUGUCUCUGCCCCCUAGUACUGGGGUUACAGGAGUAGCCUGCUUCACCUGGCUUUUACAUAGGUGCUAAGGAGCUGAACUUAGACCCUCAUGCGCUCUACCCAUUGAACCAUCUCCACAGCUCCCUACUACCCAGGCUUGCUUAUACUCACUGCAGUUCCAAAGUUGGAUGUGAAUUGCCAGUCUUCCCUCCUUUAGCUUCCAAGUGCUGAAAUUACAGGCAUUUGCCAUCACAGCCAGCUAGCAAUAAAACUUUCUCCACAAGCAAUGUCAGUGUUUGAUAGCCUCCUUUUGUGUCAGCAUUUUAUUCCUUCUAGUGAAACAGAAGGCAUAAUUUACUUUGGGAAGCUCAUCAAUUUGUGAUUGUUAACAUGAUUCUUGCUGUAGAAGUAAGCUGUCUCAUGCUAGUCAGUAAUGUGCAUUUCCUCAUGUGCAGUGGCAUUAAGUGACAUUAAGAGCAUAACUGGCUUCAUCAAAGCAGUAAGCAAUGACUGCGCCCUCCUCGUCUCACAACAGAGACCUUUAUAGACAGUCAGAGCCGGGCUAUUCAAGAGGCGUGCUUUACAACACGGUGGCUACAGUUAAUAACAAGAUUUCAUGUUUGUGAAGAGUGUUUUUAAUUAAUUGUGUAUGCAUGUGAGUCUGUGUCUGUGAACGUGUCUAUGCAUGCAUGCAUUCGGAACUCAGAGGACUGGAUUCUCUCCUUCUGUCUGUGGGUUGGUUCAUGGGAUUGAUUUCAGACAAAUGCCUUUACCUGCUACUGAGUUGUACACUUUAAGUAUAUGAAUUUUGAUGUCAUCUAAAACAUACUUUUUUUUUUAAUUAGGAAAAGGUCUGGAUUGGAUCGGUGUGUGCUAUAGGAAGUUUUUAGGAUGAUUAAGGCUAUGACUUUUUGUGGUAUUACUCCCACUAACUUACAUGAAUAGUAGGAUCUCAGGAAUUUUCAUCUAGAGCAUUUUUUAAAAUGACCUCACCCUAGCUGCUGGAGAGAUGGCUUAGUGGUUAAGAGCACUUGGCUGCUCUUUCAGAGGACCCAGGUUUAGUUCCCAGUACCUACAUGAUGGCUAAUAAUCAUCUAUUACUACAGUUUCCAUGCCAUUUUCUGACCUCCUUAGGCACAAGGCAUAGACUUCCCAUGCAGGCAAAACCCUACACACACUUU